rnacentral:rRNA from 1 species
ACACGACUACAUUAGAUACCCGGGUAGUCCUAGCCGUAAACGAUACUCGCUAGGUGUCGGCCACGGUGCGACCGUUGUCGGUGCCGUAGGGAAGCCGUGAAGCGAGCCACCUGGGAAGUACGGCCGCAAGGCUGAAACUUAAAGGAAUUGGCGGGGGGGGCACCACAACGGGUGGAGCUUGCGGUUUAAUUGGAUUCAACGCCGGAAAUCUUACCGGGACCGACAGCAACAUGAAGGCCAGGCUGAAGACUUUGCCGGAUUAGCUG